CUACAAUAACAGAAAACAAACAAGGGUCUAUAUAAAGGAGUACUGAAAAAUGAACCUAAUAUGAGAUCUCCUAUAAGGCUAACAACAUAACUUCCGAAUCCAAAUACAAACCUUCCUCCCUACAUAUCAUCUAAUAGUUCUGUGAAUAAUCAAAGCUCAAAGGUUGACCAAAUGGAGUCGGCAAAGAAAAAUAAAGGUAUCUUAGCAGUUGCAAUAUAGAACAUCUAAAAUCAGAGAAUUUAAAAAGGAAGUGAAAAAACUAUUCCAUGUCCGAGAGGCAAAUUCAUACAUAGAAAAAUUAAUCAUCCAUAAAGUGAUUCCUUUAAUUGGACAAGUUAUUCAACUUUGUUCAAAAAGAAAGUGUUGAUAGAAAGGGAAAAUAACACUACAAGCUGAUUCUUUAUUAAAUGCAUAUGCUUCCCCUUACAUUACAAGUUCAUUAUAAGCCAAAAUAUUCUCAAAUAUUUAAGAAAAGUUAACUACAUCACCAUCACAAAUUGGUGAUGACUUGAGAAGAAGAAGAGAGCUGAAGAUCACGAGUCCUACAACUUGUAACAAACAUGUGGACUUGGCUAACUUAUUGAUCAAGUAACUAAUUAAAAUACAUUUGAAAUUCAGCUAAUUAACUAACUCUAAUACUCCCCCUCAAAUUGGAGGUUGAGGAUUAUUAUUUGUUUGCUUCUUGUUGUUUGUAUUGAUAUUUAUGAGAUAUGAAAUGACACCUUGCCAACUGAACCUACUUGGCUGUGUUGCAACCCUUUAUACCAUAAUCAGCAUGUUGCUUGAGUAAAAAAAAAGGUUAUACAAACUUUGCCCAUGACCAAGAACUCAUAAUUAAAGUUCAAUCCUCCAAACUGAUCAAAUUAACUAAUCUGCCAUUUUUUUAAUAACCCCGGCUAGUCUUGUUAGUGUUGUUAUCUUUCCAGAUGAGGAUGCAGAUCAACAAAUAUAUAAUAUAGAUGCAAUUACAGCACUAUCUUGCAUGUAUGCAUUAAACAAAUUACUUAUCUGUGCCCCCAAUAUUAGACAAAUAUAUAUUUUAAAUCCACAACAUAAACAUUAUCAAAUAUGUUAUAACAAAUGCAUAAAUCCACUAGAGUUCACUAUUUUAUAAACUGUAACAUAAGAAGUACUGUAACCAUCAAAACUGAAAAUCAAAGUCAUACAUACUACAAUAACAAAAAACAAACAAGGGUCUAUAUAAAGGAGUACUGAAAAAUGAACCUAAUAUGAGAUCUCCUAUAAGGCUAACAACAUAACUUCUGAAUCCAAAUACAAACCUUCCUCCCUACAUAUCAUCUAAUAGUUAAAACUGUAACAUAAGAAGUACUGUAACCAUCAAAACUGAAAAUCAAAGUCAUACAUACUACAAUAACAGAAAACAAACAAGGGUCUAUAUAAAGGAGUACUGAAAAAUGAACCUAAUAUGAGAUCUCAUAU
rnacentral:lncRNA from 1 species